rnacentral:rRNA from 1 species
GAUGAACGCUGGCGGCGUGCCUAAUACAUGCAAGUCGAGCGAACGGACGAGAAGCUUGCUUCUCUGAUGUUAGCGGCGGACGGGUGAGUAACACGUGGAUAACCUACCUAUAAGACUGGGAUAACUUCGGGAAACCGUAGCUAAUACCGGAUAAUAUUUUGAACCGCAUGGUUCAAAAGUGAAAGACGGUCUUGCUGUCACUUAUAGAUGGAUCCGCGCUGCAUUAGCUAGUUGGUAAGGUAACGGCUUACCAAGGCAACGAUGCAUAGCCGACCUGAGAGGGUGAUCGGCCACACUGGAACUGAGACACGGUCCAGACUCCUACGGGAGGCAGCAGUAGGGAAUCUUCCGCAAUGGGCGAAAGCCUUACGGAGCAACGCCGCGUGAGUGAUGAAGGUCUUCGGAUCGUAAAACUCUGUUAUUAGUGAAGAACAUAUGUGUAAGUAACUGUGCACAUCUUGACGGUACCUAAUCAGAAAGCCACGGCUAACUACGUG